GACAGAGGGUGCAAACGUUGCUCGGAUUUACUGGGCGUAAAGCGCGUGUAGGCGGGCGACUAAGUCGGAUGUGAAAUCCCUGGGCUCAACCUAGGAACUGCAUUCGAAACUGGUCACCUAGAGUGAUGGAGAGGAAAGCGGAAUUCCCGGUGUAGAGGUGAAAUUCGUAGAUAUCGGGAGGAACACCGGUGGCGAAGGCGGCGAUCUGGGUAGAUACUGACGCUGAGGUGCGAAAGCGUGGGGAGCAAACAGG
rnacentral:rRNA from 1 species